UACGUAGGGUGCGAGCGUUGUCCGGAAUUAUUGGGCGUAAAGAGCUUGUAGGCGGUUUGUCGCGUCUGCUGUGAAAUUUCGGGGCUCAACCCCGAACUUGCAGUGGGUACGGGCAGACUAGAGUGUGGUAGGGGAGACUGGAAUUCCUGGUGUAGCGGUGAAAUGCGCAGAUAUCAGGAGGAACACCGAUGACGAAGGCAGGUCUCUGGGCCACUACUGACGCUGAGAAGCGAAAGCAUGGGGAGCGAACAGG
rnacentral:rRNA from 1 species